rnacentral:rRNA from 1 species
UACGUAGGGCGCGAGCGUUGUCCGGAAUUAUUGGGCGUAAAGAGCUCGUAGGCGGCUUGUCACGUCGGAUGUGAAAGACCGGGGCUUAACUCCGGUUCUGCAUUCGAUACGGGCUAGCUAGAGUUCGGUAGGGGAGAUCGGAAUUCCUGGUGUAGCGGUGAAAUGCGCAGAUAUCAGGAGGAACACCGGUGGCGAAGGCGGAUCUCUGGGCCGAUACUGACGCUGAGGAGCGAAAGCGUGGGGAGCGAACGGG